rnacentral:rRNA from 1 species
CGCUGGCGGCGUGCCUAAUACAUGCAAGUCGAACGGUCUUUCUAUGGAAGCUUGCUUCCACUGAGAAGAUAGUGGCGGACGGGUGAGUAACACGUGGGUAACCUGCCCAUAAGAGGGGGAUAACAUCCGGAAACGGGUGCUAAUACCGCAUAGUUUUCUUGAUCGCAUGAUCGAGAAAGGAAAGACGGCCUUUGUGCUGUCGCUUAUGGAUGGACCCGCGGCGUAUUAGUUAGUUGGUGAGGUAAUGGCUCACCAAGACGAUGAUACGUAGCCGACCUGAGAGGGUGAUCGGCCACAUUGGGACUGAGACACGGCCCAAACUCCUACGGGAGGCAGCAGUAGGGAAUCUUCCGCAAUGGACGAAAGUCUGACGGAGCAACGCCGCGUGAGUGAAAGAAGGUUUUCGGAUCGUAAAACUCUGUUGUCAGAGAAGAACAAGUCGGAGAGUAACUGCUCCGGCCUUGACGGUAUCUGACCAGAAAGCCACGGCUAACUACGUGCCAGCCGCCGC